GGGCCGGAGCUCGGAAUCCGGCGAUGCCACUUUGCUCAGGAAGCUCGCAUCCCACAGCUGCAACACCCGGGCCGGGACCUUGCGUCACCAACCGACAGGUGACCAAACGCGCGGACGCGUCGCAACCGACGCACCUCCAUGAUCACCAGCGCCCCGGGGCCGACUUACCCCAUGCAAGUGGAAGCCCUCGGCGCCGCCCGCAGGCUGCUGGGCGCUGGCGCCCAGGCCCAUGACGGCGGCUCCGUGCGGCGCCCGCGUCCAGGACCAACGCCGACCCUCUGGCAGCCUGGGUGCCCCUGCCCGGAUUCGCUCCCUCGGAGCUCGACUACCAGAGUCUUGUCACGUGGCGCGCCGUGCUCCGCCCACUCCCUACGCCGCCGCUCUUAGCAACCGGCUGGCUGCCGGGUUGCCAAGGACGCUCGCGCCUUGGACUUAGCAGCCGCAAGAGGCGUGCCCAGGACCCUGACCCUGGAAUCCGGCUCUGCGCCGCCCUGCCAGGGCCGGACUCGGUGCCGCGAGUGGCCGGAGAUGAGCAACAAUGAUUCUUCUCUCAUGGCUGGGCUCAUUUACUAUAGCCAGGAAAAGUACUUCCACCAUGUGCAGCAGGCUGCAGUUGUGGGUCUGGAGAAAUACAGCAAUGACCCCGUGUUGCAGUUCUUUAAAGCCUAUGGAGUCCUCAGGGAAGAGCGCAUCCAGGAUGCCAUCAGUGACCUGGAGAGCAUCCGAAAUCACCCAGAUAUAUCCUUGUGCUCCAUCAUGGCCCUCCUUUAUGCUCAUAAAAGCUGCGAAACCAUUGAUCGAGAAGCCAUCCAGGAGCUGGAGAGCAGCCUGAAGGAAGUACGCAGGGCAGCCCAUGAGACCGCCCUGUACUACGCUGGCCUCUUCCUCUGGCUCACGGGCUACCAUGACAAGGCCAAGGAGUAUGUCGACCACUUUCUGAAGGUCUCUCAUAGCUCGAGAGAGGGCUAUGUGCUCAAAGGCUGGGUGGAACUCACCUCGGAUAAACCUCACAUUGUGAAGAAAUCCAUCAAGUACCUCGAGCAAGGAAUUCGGGACACCAAAGAUGUGCUGGGGCUGAUGGGAAAGGCAACAUACUUAAUGAUGCAACAGAACUACUCGGGGGCCCUGGAAGUGGUGAACCAGAUCACAGUGGCCUCUGGGAACUUUCUGCCCGCCCUCAUCCUGAAGAUGCGGCUCUUCUUGGCUCGGCAGGACUGGGAGCAGGCGGUAGAAACAGGACACAGAAUCCUUGAAAAAGAUGAAAGCAAUAUUGAUGCCUGUCAAAUACUAGCUGUGCAUGAGCUUGCAAGAGAAGGAAACAUGACCACAGCUGCUGGUCACGUUAGAAAUCUGAUUAAGGCACUAGAAAUGAGAGAGCCCCAAAAUCCAAGCCUCCAUCUUAAAAAAAUUAUUGUGGUUAACAGACUGUGUGGGAACCAUCAGGUGAUUCUGCAGCUAGUGAGUAACUUCAUUGAACGCAUCUUCAUGGCCAACUCACCCUGUGCCCGUGUGGCCACAGAGCUGGGCUACCUCUUCAUCCUGCAGAACCAAGUGAAGGAGGCCUUUCUGUGGUACUCGGAGGCCAUGAAACUGGAUGAGAACAGCAUGGCUGCCUUGACAGGAAUCAUCUGGUGCCAGAUCUUAAAAGGCCACCUGGAAGAGGCUGAGCACCAGCUGGAAUUCCUGAAGGAGGUGCAGCAGUCCCUGGGGAAGUCUGAGGUGCUGGUUUUCCUCCAAGCCCUUCUGGCCUCCAAGAAGCAAAAGGGGGAGCAGGAGGCCACGGCGCUUCUGAAGGAGGCAGUGGAGCUCCACUUCUCCAGCAUGCAGGGGCUGCCCCUGGGCCCCGAGUACCUCGAACAGCUGGACCCCCUCUUCCUGGUCUGCAUCGCCAAGGAAUAUUUGCACUUCUGCCCCAAGCAGCCCCGGGCACCAGGCCAGAUUCUGUCUCCACUUCUUAAACAAGUCACCGUGAUCUUGAGUCCUGUCGUGAAAGCAGUCCCAGCUAUGUUGGAACCCCUGUUUGUGAUGGCUCAGGUCAAGUAUCUUUCAGGGGAGCUGGAGAAUGCCCUGAGUGUCCUGCAGCGAUGCCUUGAGCUGGACCCCACCUCUGCGGAUGCCCACCUCCUCAUGUCCCAGAUCUACCUGGCUCAGGGCAACUUCGCCAUGUGCUCCCACAGCUUAGAGCUAGGAGUCAGCCACAACUUCCAGGUCCGAGACCACCCCCUGUACCACUUCAUCAAGGCCAGGGCCCUCAACAAAUCUGGAGACCAUCCAGAGGCCAUCAAAACACUGAAAAUGAUCAUGAAAUUGCCAACUGUGAAGGUGGAAGAAGGCAAGAAGUUCCGUGGGUCCCCCUUGCACCCCAGAGAGCGGGUGUCUAUCCUGCUGGAACUGGUAGAUGCCCUCCGGCUGAAUGGGGAGCUGCAUGAGGCCACCAAGGUCAUGCAAGAUGCCAUUAAUGAAUUCAGUGGUACACCAGAGGAGAUCCGCAUCACCAUUGCCAAUGUGGACUUGGCCCUGAGCAAGGGUAACGUGGACAUGGCACUGAGUAUGCUGAGGAACAUCACGCCCAAGCAGCCCUGGUACAUGGAAGCCAAGGAGAAGAUGGCCAGCAUCUACCUGCACACCCGCAAAGACAUCCGCCUGUACAUCGGAUGCUACCGGGAGCUCUGUGAACAUCUGCCGGGCCCCCACACCAGCCUGCUUCUUGGUGAUGCUUUUAUGAACAUUCAGGAACCUGAAAAGGCCCUGGAGGUCUAUGACGAGGCCUAUAGAAAGAACCCACACGAUGCCUCCUUGGUCAGCAGGAUUGGGCAAGCUUAUGUGAAGACCCACCAGUAUGCCAAGGCAAUUAAUUAUUAUGAGGCUGCCCAGAAGAUUAGCGGGCAGGACUUUCUGUGCUGUGAUCUGGCUGAACUGCUUCUGAAGCUAAAGAAGUUCAACAAAGCAGAAAAGGUUUUGAAACAGGCACUGGGCCGUGACUUUGCCAAAGACUUCCCAUCCAUGAUGAAUGAUGUUAAGUGCUUGCUUCUGCUGGCAAAAGUUUAUAAGAGCUAUAAAAAAGAAGAUGUGGUAGAUACUUUGAACAAGGCCUUGGACCUCCAGUCUCGGAUACUGAAGCGAAUUCCACUGGAGCAACCAGAAAUGAUCCCCUCCCAGAAGCAAAUGGCAGCCUUCAUCUGUAUCCAGUUUGGGGAGCACUACUUGGCAGACAAGGAAUAUGCCAAGGCAGUGCGUUCUUAUAAGGAUGCUCUCUCCUACUCACCCAUGGACAAUAAGGUGAUGCUGGAGCUGGCACGGCUCUACCUGCUCCAGGGACACCUGGACUUGUGUGAGCAGCACUGCACCACCCUCCUGCAGAUGGAGCAGACCCAUGAGACCGCCUGUGUGAUGAUGGCUGACCUGAUGUUUAGAAAACAGCAAUACGAAGAGGCCAUCAAUCUGUACCAACAAGUCCUGGAGAAGGCGCCAGACAAUUUUUUGGUCUUGAAUAAAUUAAUCGAUCUGCUAUGGAGAAGUGGCAAACUUGAGGAGGCACCUGCCUUCUUUGAAUCGUCUAAGAAGAUGUCUAGCCGGGUACCUUUGGAGCCAGGGUUCAACUACUGCACAGGCAUCUUCUGCUGGCACAUAGGGCAGCCCAACGAGGCCUUGAGGUUCCUAAACAAAGCUCGGAAGGACAGCACUUGGGGCCAGUGGGCCACUUACUAUAUGGUGCAAAUCUGUCUGAACCCAGACAAUGAGCUUGUGGGUGGAGAGGCUUUUGAGAACCUGAUGACUGAAAGCAACUCCACCAACAGAAAGGAAUUGGAGCAGCACGGGGUGCGCACAGCAGAGAAGCUGCUGCGUGAGUUCUACCCACAUUCGGCCUUUGGUCAGACCCAGCUGAGGCUACUGCAGAGCCUUUGCCUGCUGGCCACCAAGGAGAAGGCUAACGUGGAGGUGGCACUUAGUACCUUCAUCGAGAUGGCACAGGCUGAGAAGGACAACAUCCCUGCCCUGCUGGCCAUGUCGCAAGCCUACAUGCUGUUGAAGCAGAUUCCCAAGGCACGCACGCAGCUCAAGCGCCUGGCCAAGGUCUCGUGGGCGCUGACGGACGCCGAGGACCUAGAGAAGAGCUGGCUCCUGCUGGCGGACAUCUACUGCCAGGGCGGCAAGUUCGACCUCGCCUCCGAGUUACUGCGGCGCUGUGUGCAGUACAACAAGUCCUGCUGCAAGGCCUACGAGUACAUGGGCUUCAUCAUGGAGAAGGAACAGUCCUACAAGGAUGCAGCCACCAACUACGAGCUGGCCUGGAAGUAUAGUUAUCAUGCCAACCCUACCAUUGGUUUCAAACUUGCUUUCAACUACUUGAAGGACAAGAAAUUUGUGGAAGCCAUUGAAGUCUGCCACAAUGUCCUCAUGGAACACCCCAACUACCCCAAGAUCAGAGAGGAAAUUUUGGAAAAAGCCCAAGGGUCCUUGAGGAUCUAGCUGUGGUCAGAGGGGCUUCAGACCAGUGGACAAUUAACCUUGAGCAGUUUCCUCUAGUGCUGGGAUGGAACCCAGGGCCUCGCUUAUGGAAGGCAAGUGCUCUAUCACUGAGCUACACACGCAGCCCUUAGUUUAAUAACUAUGUGUUUAUAUACGUUUAUAUGACAAAAGAAUAACUAGCACAACAGACUCAUGAAUUCAUGGAAAUUGUUGCAUAGGACGAGUCUAAGUAUUAAGCAUAUUGCUUUUUUUGUUUGUUUGUUUUAGAAAAACAUGAAAAAGGUUUAUUUAGUGAAACAAAAGUCAUGCUCCAUAUGUGAGAAAUAGACGGCCUCCAAAAGAGAAAAACAGCCAAUAUAAUCGACUUAAGAAAAAUAGUACAGGUAGAAGGCUGAUAUGGUAGAGUUUUCGAGAGAAGUUGUCCAGUGACUAAGGUUUGGGGUCACUUUUAGAAAAGUGUCAGUUGUCCUUGAUGGUUGCCAAGCCUUCUUUUUAUAAUGUAGUACUGGUCACGUGCAGGGCUUCUUGGUGAGUUAGCG